rnacentral:rRNA from 1 species
GAUCAGUGGCUCGAGGACGAACGCUGGCGGCGUGCUUAACACAUGCAAGUCGAACGGUGACCCAGGGCUUGCCCUGGUGAUCAGUGGCGAACGGGUGAGUAACACGUGGGCAACCUGCCCCUGACUUCGGGAUAACUCCUCGAAAGAGGAGCUAAUACCGGAUACGACCACUUCGGACAUCCGAUGGUGGUGGAAAGUUUUUCGGUCAGGGAUGGGCCCGCGGCCUAUCAGCUAGUUGGUGGGGUAAUGGCCUACCAAGGCGACGACGGGUAGCCGGCCUGAGAGGGCGACCGGCCACACUGGGACUGAGACACGGCCCAGACUCCUACGGGAGGCAGCAGUGGGGAAUAUUGCGCAAUGGGCGAAAGCCUGACGCAGCGACGCCGCGUGAGGGAUGAAGGCCUUCGGGUUGUAAACCUCUUUCAGCAGGGACGAAGCGAAAGUGACGGUACCUGCAGAAGAAGCACCGGCUAACUACGUG